CAAAAGACCAGAACAAGUGAAAUAUUUACCCCGUAGCAUCCAGGAUCAGUGGAACAUCUUUGCAAGGGAUGUAAAAGCAGGGCCUACCCAAGGCCAUUAGUGCAUUGAAUGGAAACAAGAGGUUAAAACAUGGUCAGAAAUGAGAACAGCAUGUGGAAACUGUGAGCCCCAGUUUUUUCCAAAGCACCCUCCCGGACCAUGCUUUCAUGUAUAUUCAUAGCUCAGAAGGUGUGCUCCAAGGACAAGAGGAGGAUUAUCUCUGUAAAGAACAACAACAAAAAAAAGAAAACAAGAAAGUCAGAAAGCCAUGGAUAAGGAGUGAGCUGGGUAAAAAUUGCUUGAAGCAAACAAACAAAACAAAUCCCAAGAGAUUAAAACAGGGACGGCCAGCAUUGAAGAUUUUGUAUCAACUGUCUCUUCGAGGAGGGUGUGGCUGCAGAUGGGGUGGUCUCUUACUCCAGGAAGCUCUAGGAACAUCAAAGCUAGACAGAUUGAAAACAGCCUUAGGACUGCUGACCACCUACACAGCCC
rnacentral:lncRNA from 1 species